rnacentral:rRNA from 1 species
GAUGAACGCUGGCGGCGUGCCUAAUACAUGCAAGUCGAGCGAACAGAUAAGGAGCUUGCUCCUUUGACGUUAGCGGCGGACGGGUGAGUAACACGUGGGUAACCUACCUAUAAGACUGGGAUAACUUCGGGAAACCGGAGCUAAUACCGGAUAAUAUUUCGAACCGCAUGGUUCGAUAGUGAAAGAUGGUUUUGCUAUCACUUAUAGAUGGACCCGCGCCGUAUUAGCUAGUUGGUAAGGUAACGGCUUACCAAGGCGACGAUACGUAGCCGACCUGAGAGGGUGAUCGGCCACACUGGAACUGAGCCACGGUCCAGACUCCUACGGGAGGCAGCAGUAGGGAAUCUUCCGCAAUGGGCGAAAGCCUGACGGAGCAACGCCGCGUGAGUGAUGAAGGUCUUCGGAUCGUAAAACUCUGUUAUUAGGGAAGAACAUACGUGUAAGUAACUGUGCACGUCUUGACGGUACCUAAUCAGAAAGCCACGGCUAACUACGUG